rnacentral:rRNA from 1 species
UACGUAGGGCGCAAGCGUUGUCCGGAAUUAUUGGGCGUAAAGAGCUCGUAGGCGGUGUGUCACGUCGGCCGUGAAAACCUGCAGCUUAACUGUGGGCGUGCGGUCGAUACGGGCAUCACUGGAGUUCGGCAGGGGAGACUGGAAUUCCUGGUGUAGCGGUGAAAUGCGCAGAUAUCAGGAGGAACGCCGGUGGCGAAGGCGGGUCUCUGGGCCGAUACUGACGCUGAGGAGCGAAAGCGUGGGGAGCGAACAGG